GAUGAACGCUGGCGGCGUGCCUAAUACAUGCAAGUCGAGCGAACGGACGAGAAGCUUGCUUCUCUGAUGUUAGCGGCGGACGGGUGAGUAACACGUGGAUAACCUACCUAUAAGACUGGAAUAACUUCGGGAAACCGGAGCUAAUACCGGAUAAUAUUUUGAACCGCAUGGUUCAAAAGUGAAAGACGGUCUUGCUGUCACUUAUAGAUGGAUCCGCUCUGCAUUAGCUAGUUGGUAAGGUAACGGCUUACCAAGGCAACGAUGCAUAGCCGACCUGAGAGGGUGAUCGGCCACACUGGAACUGAGACACGGUCCAGACUCCUACGGGAGGCAGCAGUAGGGAAUCUUCCGCAAUGGGCGAAAGCCUGACGGAGCAACGCCGCGUGAGUGAUGAAGGUCUUCGGAUCGUAAAACUCUGUUAUUAGGGAAGAACAUAUGUGUAAGUAACUGUGCACAUCUUGACGGUACCUAAUCAGAAAGCCACGGCUAACUACGUG
rnacentral:rRNA from 1 species